UCAAGAUCCUGUGGAUUAACCUAAACGAGCAAGGUAAUAUCGAGCAACGGCAUACAAGCUUUAAAAGACGUUUCAGACGCAAUAUCAGUUUUAUACAGGGUAAGUAUGCUAGUCUUUUUAUGCCCAUCCGAUCUCGGGUCAGUCGUGAAAGAGAAAGAUGAAGCUAAUCCCUUCGACUCUCGUCGAACAAUCAAGUAUGUGCAAACUUUCGGCUAAUCCUUGCGGCUGCACUUGCCUUAAACGUAUCCACACACACAGUGGCGCCCUCUGAGCAAUCCUGCACGUGUCACGGUGUAAUUAAAUAUUUGUAAACAGAGGAAAGGGAUUCUCCGACAAGAGUUGGCCCAAGUUGUCGGUUAAUUAGAGAGACAAUGAACUUAAUCGCAUUGCCCAAGUUCGUCACAAAGGUGUCCGACCAGGGUGCGAAACGAAAGAGGAAGAGAAAGAGAGAGAGAGAGAGAGAGAAGAGGAAGAAGUUCUUCGCUUUGGCGUCUUGAAGUUACGACAUCCAAUCUUAAACUCUCGAAGCUCCAGCUGCGGAAACUAUCGCGUACUGCCGCAGAAUUUCUUACGCGGUCCAGGGACAGGAGACUUUGGCGAAAGAAACUUGAAACGCGACGAUCUUUGACAGAAGAGACGGGAUCGAGAGAGGAUUUUAAUGGAUUCGAAAAAAUUGGAAUUUUUUUUAUGAAUAAAAAUUAAUGGGAUUGCAGAUUUUUAUAUGAAAAAAUUUAAAUGCGCAAAAAAUCUGCAAGAUAUCCGCAUAUAAUAUUCAAAAAUAUAUAGGUUAUGAAGGGAGCAGGUUAAAUAUUUUUAUAUUUCAAAUAAAUUUAUUUUCUAUUUUA